UAAAAAAUGGGGACUAUUGGAUUUUUACCAAGUGGCAAAAUCUUGUGAAGAGAGAGAGAGGCAAAUGGGUGACUUGAUGCGACAUGAUGUUUGACGAACACAACUAAUGGAUGGUUGAUGCAAUGACGGUGACACAAAGACAUUAUGAAAAAUGAAAACACAUUAGACAAGGGACAGGCACGCCCCCCAAACGGUGAUGACAUGCCGACCAACUGGCAGCGCAUGCCCCACAUGGGAUGGCACAUACCCAAGCGCAUGCACAGGAUGCACGGAGCCGCGCGCCUCUCUACACCCAAUGUGACGUAGGCACACUGGGCACUUUGUGCCCCGUGCGGAU
rnacentral:lncRNA from 1 species